GGAGUUGUCGGGAAACUGGGCAUGCGCAGAGAACACCGGGCGCAAGGACUGCUCUGGGAGGACGCCGAAGUCAACAAGGCUAGGGGGACGCCCCCAUCCGGCUCCGCCCCCACAGGGAUUGCUCCGCCCCCACGCCCAAACAACGCGAGGUUCUGAGGAGACCUGGGGACCGACAACUUUUGGGAGAGAUCGCGCGAGAACAGGGCCUCAACCUCCCCGCCCCCUACCCCGCGUCCUUACGCUGGGGUACCGAAGAGCCGCUGAGAGGCCGUCACCCGUGGCGGAGUGCACUUGAGAUCCUGAGAGAUGGAAACCAUUACCCUCAAUUGGUCAACAGAAAGAGGCUUUGUACAUCCACAGAUGCUGCAAGUACAAUUCUAUCUCCUUGGUCAAAGGCCCAGAGGACGAUGGAAUGCCAGCUUAUUGAAGAAGAAACACUAAGAAUGCGCACAAACAGAGGAAAGGCUGAAUGAGGACAUAGUAAGAAAACAUCCACAAGCCAAAAAUCAAACCUCUUGGACACCUUGAUCUUGGACUUCCAGCCUCCAAAAUUGUGAGGAAAUACAUUUCUGUUGUUAAGCUACCUGUGGAAUUUUUGUUAUAGCAAACUAAUAAAACAACUGUGAUAAUUUUGCCUUUUUACAUUAACAUUUUCCUCCAUUAUUGGUGGGCUAACAUUUUCUCAUUUCCUCCUACUACCACCAAAACAAACCCAACCAAAUCAAACCAAACAAAAUAAGAGAAAUCAUACCGUUUUUCCCCAGCCUGCAGUGGAAGUGGUGAGCUACUGAAGUGGUGAGAAGCAUUUCUACUUUUAGAUGGUUUUCUGCAUCUUUUGGGGCUAACCCCCCAAGGAGCCAAACCCAUUGGACCUCUCUUCUGAAAAUUUGGUAGUAUUAUCAAGAUUUUUGAAGUUUUGUUAACUCUCUUUGUUAAUUGUACACACAUUAUUUCGAUGGGUUAGAAAACAAGCGUAUGAUGUACUCAAAGUCUUUAGUAUCUUUUGAUUUUCUUUCUAUAAUAUUCUCUUUUCAAGAUAAUAAAUUGUGUCCUUAAUUAAGCUGUGCCCCUUCCUUUGUAGGAGAAUCUUGCAUAGUUUUAAGCACUUUUAAGUUUUGAUGUUAUUUAUAUUGUCCAAUUUCAGAAAACUAUAUCUUGUGUUUCAGCUUCGUUCUGCUAUUAUUUCAUUAUUUCAUUCUGCCUUCUUGUUUCAUAGGAGCCUCUUGAAUAAGAGAAAGAUUGUGUAAAUUUGGGGUCUGUCAGCCUACUUCUUGAGACCUAUCCCAGGAGGCUUUGAUAUUACCUGAAGCAAACCCAGGGUUUCCUAAAACUCAGCUUCUGUGUUUCGGACAGUGCUCUGGUAGAAGUGUCAUAAGAUCCCUGUCUCCAACCGUAUAAGCUAAUAUCAAGAAACGUGUGACCUUAUGAAAACACACUUCUGAUGGGCACAGUAGCAUAAGCUACCUCUCCAUGAUUCAAAUUUUAUAAUUGGAAUUAACAGUCCAAAAGUGGCAUUGGUGCUAAAUAGCACAAUUGUGCCAUCUGUUUCAAUGCCAUAGUUUUGGGGAUUUCUACAUGGUAUAUUGAAAGAUUAUUUUAAGAGGUGCAGUUUAUGAUGAAACCUUCUAAUAGUGCCUCUUUACUAAACCAACUUGAUAUUUAUAAAUGCCUGGGAUGGGGGGAAGCUACUGAAAUUGUAUCACUACCUUCAGAAAGAUUUUUAAAGGGCUUGUUUAAUAUUAAUGUAGUGUACAAUUACUUUUGAGCUCUUGCCAAGAGUGCCAGGAUAAUAUAGGAUAUGAAUAUCCCAGUGUGCCUGAAAAUUAUUUUAAUUUACAAAACCCUACUCAAGCUGCUCUUUGUAGAUUUUAAACUUGAGGGCAGAUUUUGUAAAGGAGCAGAAUAUUUGCAAAACUAUGCAAAUAUGCAUCAGAAUGUAGCCUCAGGCUUAUAGCACGUAAAAACACCUGAGAUCUUAUGGUCCAGAGGGAGACAUUACAUAAUAUUCAAAAUGACAAGAUGCUUCCAGGACUCACAGGUUUUGCAGAAGAGUUCAAAAAUGGCUAUAAGAAGGGGUGGCAUGUUGCCUAAACAGCUCUUCUUCAUGGGGUCCUCACACAUUCGCCUUUUCUCUUGGUCUCUGUGUUACUCAAUUUCUCUCUCCUGGUCUAACAUUUAACUCAGCUGCAAAAAACCCCAGCUUUCUUUAUUCUCCCUCUCUUUCCAGAUUAUACCUUGGAGACUUUAUCUUUUCCCUAAAAAGUAUAUUUUCCUAAGCUAAGAGUCACCUAUUCUGAGAUGAAUUAUGUAUCUUCCAUAGUGUCAAAACACUAAACAUUUUUAACAUAGCACUACAACAUAUCAUAUUCUCAUGCUUAAUGGUAUGUUUUUGUUAAAAUUAUACAAAAAUACAAAUUAUUAUUAGACUAAAAGGAGAUAGGAUAAUAUUUAAUAUAUACAUAAGUGAAGCUUUAAUUGAAAACUCUGAACUGGAGCCUAGAGUAUCUUUGUUAAAGAUCUUUUGGAUAUUUUGUAUAGGGGCAGCAGAAGUUCAGUUUUCUCUGAAGUCCUACCACCGAUUGGAUGAUUCAUGCAAUAAGAAUUUAUUCUAACACUAAUUUAAAAACAACCCACCAGAGUUUCUAUUCAUGGAAUAGAAAAUAAGUACAUUCUUUGUGGAGUUAUGUAAAUUUCUUAAAGCAGUACCUAUGAUGAGUAGAUGAAUAGAAAUUUUACUGUUAAUAAUUAGUGCAAUUUUUUAUUGGAAAUAUUUUCUUUUCAUGGAAGUUUUGGACAAAACGAAAGAAAAAUUGAAUAGGAGCUUGGCAAAUAACAUAAUGUUAUAUCUAACCAAUAAAAUAUGUA